rnacentral:rRNA from 1 species
CCAAGGAGUCUAACAUGUGUGCAAGUCGUAGGGUCAGCUCCUUAAAAAGAGCUAAACCCGAAGGCGAAAUGAAAGUGAAGGUUGUUUUAAAAAAUGACCGAGGCGAGAUCCUAAAAAAAACCGAGCAUAAUAGGCACGUCGCUUUUUUUCCUAACCUUCACGGGGAUAAAGAUGAAAGUGGCGGCUCGGAGGCGCAUCGCCGGCCCGUCUUAAUCGCUCUCUUUCUUAGCGGGAGAAUCGCUCUCAAGGGUGAUGGGGAAUUCCUUUCGGGGAAAUCUUUCUGAGCCCCCGCGGAGUCUCUUUUGCGGAUUGGGAACCUAGUCGAUGAGGCGGAGCAAGAGCAUACACGUUGGGACCCGAAAGAUGGUGAACUAUGCCCGGGCAGGACGAAGCCAGAGGAAACUCUGGUGGAGGUCCGCAGCGAUUCUGACGUGCAAAUCGAUCGUCGGACCUGGGUAUAGGGGCGAAAGACUAAUCGAACCGUCUAGUAGCUGGUUCCCCUYCGAAGUUUCCCUCAGGAUAGCUGGCACUUGACAAAAGAGACAAAAAACAAAAAUAAAAGCGAAAUAAAAAAAACAGUCUCAUCCGGUAAAGCGAAUGAUUAGAGGCAUUGGGGUCGAAACGACCUCAACCUAUUCUCAAACUUUCAAUGGGUGAGAUGUCCGGCUUGCUCAAAAAAUUUGAAAAAAAGAAUGAAGCACGGACGUAGGAUGAAAGUGCCAAGUGGGCCACUUUUG